rnacentral:rRNA from 1 species
AUUGAACGCUGGCGGCAGGCCUAACACAUGCAAGUCGAACGAGUGGCGGACGGGUGAGUAAUGUCUGGGAAACUGCCUGAUGGAGGGGGAUAACUACUGGAAACGGUAGCUAAUACCGCAUACCAUCAGAUGUGCCCAGAUGGGAUUAGAUAGUAGGUGGGGUAACGGCUCACCUAGGCGACGAUCCCUAGCUGGCCUGAGAGGAUGACCAGCCCAACUGGAACUGAGACAGGGUCCAGAGUCCUACGGGAGGCAGCAGUGGGGAAUAUUGCACAAUGGUGGUAAGCCUGAGGCAGCCCAGCCGCUUGUAUGAAGAAGGCCUUCGGGUUGUAAAGUACUUUCAUCGGGGAGGCGUUACCUGCAGAAGAAGCAACGGCUAACUCCGUGCCAGCCGCCGCGGUAAUAC